rnacentral:lncRNA from 1 species
UGUAAACGCCGUUCAGACGGUUCGUGCUCUUCCUGCGUUGCCGGAAAGAGUCACGCAACGUCAAAACCUCCGUCGACGCGAACGUGACGCCGUUGUAUGACACGUGGCUCUCCACGCUCUCGUAGUAGAAGUCCAGCUUCUUGUUGGGGUUCCCUGCCGUGAAGUUGAGGACGAGGUUGUAACGGAGCGUGUUGUCGCUGGAGGUGUAGUUGAACUGCGUGAGCGUGGCGUCGGAGACGUGCAGCUUAAAGGCGCGUGGCUGGAACACGGCGUAGAAGAUGAUGAAUACGAUGA